rnacentral:rRNA from 1 species
AACGAACGCUGGCGGCAUGCCUAACACAUGCAAGUCGAACGAGACCUUCGGGUCUAGUGGCGCACGGGUGCGUAACGCGUGGGAAUCUGCCCUUGGGUUCGGAAUAACAGUUGGAAACGACUGCUAAUACCGGAUGAUGACGUAAGUCCAAAGAUUUAUCGCCCAAGGAUGAGCCCGCGUAGGAUUAGCUAGUUGGUGAGGUAAAGGCUCACCAAGGCGACGAUCCUUAGCUGGUCUGAGAGGAUGAUCAGCCACACUGGGACUGAGACACGGCCCAGACUCCUACGGGAGGCAGCAGUGGGGAAUAUUGGACAAGGGGCGAGAGCCUGAUACAGCAAUGCCGCGUGAGUGAUGAAGGCCUUAGGGUUGUAAAGCUCUUUUACCCGGGAUGAUAAUGACAGUACCGGGAAAAUAAGCUCCGGCUAACUCCGUG